rnacentral:rRNA from 1 species
GAUAGCGAACAAGUACCGUGAGGGAAAGUUGAAAAGCACUUUGAAGAGAGAGUUCAAGAGUACGUGAAACCGUUUAGGGGUAAACCUGAGAAACCCGAAAGGUCGAAGGGAGAAAUUCAUUCGCGUUUCGCAGUCGGCGUGAGACGAUCGAGUGACGGAAUCCGUCCUUGGGCGUUUUCUGCACCUUUUGUUUUUCGAUCCGAUAGCGAACGCGUGCACUUUUCUCCUGGUAGGACGUCGCGAUCCGUUGGGUGUCGGUCUACGGCUCACGGUGGAGCCCGGAUGUGCGGCUUGCCGUCACGUCCGGACCCGUGUGUCCCGGCUGACUCGCUCGACGGUAUACGAAAGGUUUGAGGCCGCUCUAGCGAGCGUUCGGCUCGUCGCAAGCGCGUCAAAUGUGUCGGUGAUCGGACCUAGUGCCGGUUCUGACCUUUGGCGACUGUUGGCGGCGAAGUUCUC